rnacentral:pre_miRNA from 1 species
UUUUAUGGUUAAACAAAGAAAGUAGUUUCUUGAGAUGGAAUCUACUCCUGUGAAGAUCCUGUGAA